AUGAAUAUUGCCCUCCUCUCCAAAUGGCUUUGGCGAAUUCAGAUCGAUGAGGGCGGCCUGUGGCUGGAGAUUAUCCGCGCGAAGUACCUUCGCGGGCAACCGCUGGCCUUCGCCCCUAGAUCUGAAGGGUCCCAAUUCUGGCAAUCGGUGAUCCGUCUGAUGCCGGUCUUGCGCAUUGGGACCUCCAUUAAAGUGGGCACCGGGUCCGGCACCCUAUUCUGGCUUGAUAGGUGGGCUGGGACCCGUCCCUUUGCGGAACGCUCUUACACGUUAUUCUCGAUCUGUGCCCGCCCAUAG
rnacentral:rRNA from 1 species